rnacentral:rRNA from 1 species
ACAUCAUGCCCCUUAUGAUUUGGGCUACACACGUGCUACAAUGGACAAUACAAAGGGCAGCUAAACCGCGAGGUCAAGCAAAUCCCAUAAAGUUGUUCUCAGUUCGGAUUGUAGUCUGCAACUCGACUACAUGAAGCUGGAAUCGCUAGUAAUCGUAGAUCAGCAUGCUACGGUGAAUACGUUCCCGGGUCUUGUACACACCGCCCGUCACACCACGAGAGUUUGUAACACCCGAAGCCGGUGGAGUAACCAUUUAUGGAGCUAGC